UCGGCCACCUUUAUCCCCGGGACGCCACGCUCCGAACCGGGUGAAGCCGCUGAUCUCUGAAGGUGAGAGCGACAGUUACAUCGUCACAGGUUCGCUUGUGACUUUAAAUGUCUGGUUUAAGUGUAGCUGAGCGUACAGUCAACGGAGGAGUCUAACCGGCAGUCGGCUGUGAGCAGCUCGGUGCCCGUCAUGGGUCUGCGGGGGUUCUGGCAGGGCAACAAAGUGUUGCUUGUGAUGGUACCGAGUCUGGGGCUGAUCCACUGGGGCUGGUACCACCUGAAGGAAAACCCACAGCUGUACAAAACCAAAGCGGAGUACACUCCCGAGCCCGGCAUCGCCGCUUACGUUCCCCCCCGCGCCGCCCGGCCCGCCGCCGCCGAGAGCAAGUAACCCACUUGGAGGUACUGAGCCGUGUUCCGCCCUGCAGCACCUGCAGCCGGCUUCCUGCCCGCCGUUAAUCAACCACCACCACGAGAGGCGUCGGUAUGAAGCCCCGCAGCUGGCUCAGGAGGAACUGGCUGUGGGCGGCCGGCGGCGCGUUCCUGAGCGUCCACGCCGCCACGUGGCUGAUGCAGAGCGCCGUGAGGGGCGCCGUGCGCUCCGAGGCCGCCAGGCAGAGGACGGCGGAGGACAGACCGGACUGACGCUCGGUCACUGUGUGUGUGUGUGUGUGUGUGUGUGUGUGUGUGUGUGUGUGUGUGUGUGUGUGUGUGUGUGUGUGUGUGUGUGUGUGUGUGUGUGUGUGUGUGUGUGUGUGUGUGUGUGUGUGUGUGUGUGUGUGUGUGUGUGUGUGUGUGACACACAGAGGAGGACACGCCCAACAAUGAACUCUCAGAUCAUGAAACAGAAUUUAAAAUUGUUUUGAAAAAAGCUGCUUUGUUGGACAGUUUAUUUGUGUGUGUUUUCUUCACCGUUUGAUUUCAUCGUUGCUUGAUGAGUGCGUUGUGAUUUACCGUAAAUUAUUCAAGAAACCAAUAAAAUUAUCAAAAGUGUCAAUCAAA